UACGUAGGGUGCGAGCGUUAAUCGGAAUUACUGGGCGUAAAGCGUGCGCAGGCGGUUCUGAAAGUCAGCUGUGAAAGCCCCGGGCUUAACCUGGGAAUGGCGGUUGAAACUACAGGACUAGAAUCUGGCAGAGGGGGGUGGAAUUCCACGUGUAGCAGUGAAAUGCGUAGAGAUGUGGAGGAACACCGAUGGCGAAGGCAGCCCCCUGGGCUGAGAUUGACGCUGAGUGCACGAAAGCGUGGGGAGCAAACAGG
rnacentral:rRNA from 1 species